GACGAACGCUGGCGGCGUGCCUAAUACAUGCAAGUAGAACGCUGAAGGAGGAGCUUGCUUCUCUGGAUGAGUUGCGAACGGGUGAGUAACGCGUAGGUAACCUGCCUGGUAGCGGGGGAUAACUAUUGGAAACGAUAGCUAAUACCGCAUAAGAGUAGAUGUCGCAUGACAUUUGCUUAAAAGGUGCAAUUGCAUCACUACCAGAUGGACCUGCGUUGUAUUAGCUAGUUGGUGAGGUAACGGCUCACCAAGGCAACGAUACAUAGCCGACCUGAGAGGGGGAUCGGCCACACUGGGACUGAGACACGGCCCAGACUCCUACGGGAGGCAGCAGGAGGGAAUCUUCGGCAAGGGACGGAAGUCUGACCGAGCAACGCCGCGUGAGUGAAGAAGGGUUUCGGAUCGUAAAGCUCUGUUGUAAGAGAAGAACGAGUGUGAGAGUGGAAAGUUCACACUGUGACGGUAUCUUACCAGAAAGGGACGGCUAACUACGUG
rnacentral:rRNA from 1 species